rfam:Colius striatus contig45444, whole genome shotgun sequence.
GUGCUUGCUUCAGCAGCACAUAUACUACAAAUGGAACAGUACACAGAAGAUUAUUAGCAUGGACCCUGUGCAAGGAUAACAUGCAAAUUCAUGAAGCAGUCCAUAUUUUU